CUAUGGAGAGGGAUAUCCCGGGAAACUGGGGCUAAUACUCAUAGACUAUGAAUGCUGGAAUGCUUCGUAGUUCAAAGGUCCGCCGCCAUAGGAUGGGUCUGCGGCCGAUUAGGUAGUUGUUGGGGUAACGGCCCAACAAGCCUGUAAUCGGUACGGGUUGUGGGAGCAAGAGCCCGGAGAUGGAUUCUGAGACACGAAUCCAGGCCCUACGGGGCGCAGCAGGCGCGAAAACUUUACAAUGCGGGAAACCGUGAUAAGGGAACUCCGAGUGCCCGUUAAAUCGGGCUGUCCAUCAGUUUAAAAAACUGGUGAAGAAAGGGCCGGGCAAGACCGGUGCCAGCCGCCGCGGUAAUACCGGCGGCUCGAGUGGUGGCCACUAUUACUGGGCUUAAAGCGUUCGUAGCUGGUUUGUUAAGUCUCUGGGGAAAUCUUCCGGCUUAACCGGAAGGCGUAUCAGGGAUACUGGCAGACUAAGGACCGGAAGAGGUGAGGGGUACUCCAGGGGUAGGAGUGAAAUCCUGUAAUCCUUGGGGGACCACCUGUGGCGAAGGCGCCUCACCAGGACGGCUCCGACAGUGAGGGACGAAAGCUGGGGGAGCAAACCGGAUUAGAUACCCGGGUAGUCCCAGCCGUAAACGAUGUGCGUUAGGUGUAUCGGUGACCACGAGUCACCGAGGUGCCGAAGAGAAAUCGUGAAACGUACCGCCUGGGAAGUACGGUCGCAAGGCUGAAACUUAAAGGAAUUGGCGGGGGAGCACCACAACAGGUGGAGCCUGCGGUUUAAUCGGACUCAACGCCGGAAAACUCACCAGAUAAGACAGCUGAAUGAUAGUCGGGCUGAAGACUCUACUUGACUAGCUGAGAGGAGGUGCAUGGCCGUCGUCAGUUCGUACUGUGAAGCAUCCUGUUAAGUCAGGCAACGAGCGAGACCCACGCCAACAGUUGCUAGCUCGUCCCCCGGGAUGGAGAGGACACUGUUGGGACCGCCUCUGCUAAAGAGGAGGAAGGAAUGGGCAACGGUAGGUCAGCAUGCCCCGAAUUAUCUGGGCUACACGCGGGCUACAAUGGGUGGGACAAUGGGUAUCGACACCGAAAGGUGAAGGCAAUCUCCUAAACCCAUCCUUAGUUCGGAUUGUGGGCUGCAACUCGCCCACAUGAAGCUGGAUUCC
rnacentral:rRNA from 1 species